rnacentral:lncRNA from 1 species
AUGGGGUUGCCAUUCCACAGUCAAAAACUCUGACCCAGAAUUGUUCCUCUCUAAAAGAAUUGCAGGGAUAAAAAUGAAGAGACUGGGGGAAAGAAUGUCCAGUGACUGGCCCAAAUUGGGAUCCAUCUCAAGGGGAGUCUCCAGUGCCUGACACUAUUACUGAUACUAUGGUGUGCUUAUAGACAGGAGUCUAGCAUGGCUGCCCUCUGAGAAACCCAACAAGCAGCUGAAAGAGUCAGAUGCAGAUAAUUACACUCAACCAAUGGAUUGAAGUCAGGGAUCCCUGUGGUUGAAUUAGGGAAAGGCUGAAAGAAGUUGAGGAAGAGGGUGAACCCAUAAGAAGACCAGCAGUCUCAACUCACCUGGUCCCCCAAGAUCUCUUCAAACACUGAGCCAUCAUCAGGCAAUAUACACUAGCUGGUAUGAGGCCACAACAUACAUGCUGCAGAGGACUGCCUGGGCUGGCCUCAGUGAGAGAAGACACACCCAAUCCUCUAGAGACUUGAGACCCCACAGAAUGUGGAGGCCUGUGGGGGUGGGGCGGGGUGGCAGGUGGGAACAUCCUCUUGGAGAUGGGGGCUGGGGGGAGAGGAGGUAAGGGAUGAACAACUGUGGGAGGGCAGACUAGGAGGGAGAUAACAACUGGACUGUAAAAAAAAUUAAAAAAAAUUUUACAUUGAUAUAUUAUAUAAUAGAAACAGGAAAUUUAGCUAUGACAUGGGCACGCACACACACACACAUACAUAGCAUCACAUUAAGACAGUGACCUCUCAUUUGGCUGGGUUUGAGUAGAAAAUAGGAAAAGCUUAAAUAAAACUAACCAAAUGAAGGCAUAGCCAUAGCUGUGUGGCCAUGGUAAUUAAUUUGGCUUCUAUAAGUAGCAUGCUAAUAAAUGAACUUAGGAAAGUCUAGUUAUGUCUGGAAAUUUUAAAUUCCUUCAGCAAUAUAGCUGUGUCAUAUUCCUGACACAUACUGAUGUAUGGAGAUAAAUUGCCUGUCACUUAGUGUGGAAGAUACCGCUUAAGUUGUACAUUACACGCAUAUUAAGUUGUGUGGAAGCCCACAUUCAGCCUGUCGGUUUCCUCUAGGUAAUGGAGCUCAUUCAUAAUGUCAUUCUCUUGGAUGUGCUGAAGUAGGUAAAUGAGCAUAGAAGUUAUUUAUACAUUAGAACGGUAUGUAGGACACCACUGUUUUCCACUUUGCAGAGGGAAAGAGGCCCAGUUGUCAGGAGUGAAUUGAUACAGAAUCUAAAAAGCUGCUUUAAUUCUAGUUAGCAUUUCUUUUUGAAUCUGGAGGGGUGGAUGGCAAAUUUGCACAUUUGGGCAGUGAAGUCAUCUUCUGACAAUUUCUUUAUACAAAUUGGUUUUGCCAGCCUGACUGCCCUGGAAAGUUUCUGUUUCCUAUCUGAACACAGAACCCCAGAUAUUCUCAAGAUUCUGGAACUAAAGAAACAACUCAUUGGUUAAUAGCAUUUGUGGUAUUGCAGAAACCUGGGUUAAGUUCCCACCACCUAUAUAACAGGAUAGAUUAUGUCUGUUUGUAACCCCAGUAACAGGGGAUCUGAAGUCCUGUUGGUCUCUGUGAGCAUCUGGCAUGCUCAUAAUGAGCAUACAUACAUGCAGGUAAAGUACUCAUACACUUAAAAAUACAAAAACAAUACUUAGAAAAAAUCCUUCCCAAGAUCCUCUCCCAGACAAUUAGCAGAACGUUUUGUCUAGUCUCCCAUUAUGAUUAGCUUCCCUCUUCUUUCUUUAGGUAUUUUCAAUUUUUAAAAGAAUUUUAACACACAGCAUUUGUAACAUAUUAAUGAAGUCUUGUGCUGUGCUUAUAGUUGAAUGUUGUCCCAUUGCCCUUGUGGCUUCUCUCUUGCAGAACUACUGAACCUCACGCAGGUUUUCCAGAGAUAUACAAGGCAUGAUGGAGAGUAAGCAGCAUUCUGAUAAGGGCAUAGUAAUGAUGUCAUUGAAAUUGGUCUUCCAGGCAAGUCAGGAUUUAUUCUUUCUGGAGGCGCUCAGCUCAAGCUACAGUUUUAUUGUCAUAAUUUCCCCGACACCAUCUGGACCUCUAUAAAGAUGUUGGUCUCCGUGGUGCAAUGGAACACAGAGGGACACUAAAUAAAACUUACAUGGUGAGAGAAAACUGUUAUUGUUGAUGCUAAUCGUAUCUUCUUGAGCUUUUCACUCAAGGAUAUUGAAGAUUCAUUCUUCCAGCAUCAAUCUUGUUUGCAGAGUUUGGGCUUUAGUGGCAAAAAUGCUGCUUAAGGAGGUUAAACAGUUUUACAAAGACCAAAUGAUAAGAUAUGAGAUAGAUAUGUAAAACUCAUUCAUGUAAAAAACAUGGUCCCUUUAAUGUAGACAUGUUGAUAUCAAUAAUUCAUCUACAUAUUAUUCAAUCUGAUACACCAAUAUGAGUUAAAAGAGGGACUUUUAUUAAUAUUAUUAUAUAAUGAAAUUAUAUAUAAAAUAUAUCAUUGUAAUAUAUAACAAUAAUAACAUGAUCUUAUCAGGAGCAACAUUUAAAGUAGGGGUAUCUAAGGAAAUUUCAUAGGCAGUGUCAUCUCGACUUGACAAUGAAAGGAUGAAAGUUGAUCUUAAAGCUUAUGUGAGCACUCAAAUGCAUACCCAUAAGGACUUUGUUCAGUUGCCAAAAGUGAAGUAGCAAUUCUGUAGGCUUUUCUGGCAACUGAACUUCAAAUGACAGCAGCCUUAUGUCCCUACACAUCUUAGAGUAUAUUACAUACUUCACUUAUCUCUUUGCCUCUCAUUAAUAGUAUGCAUAUUUGCAUAUUUGUCUGACUGGUAUAAUCUUAACAUGUGGAAUAGAUUCUACCUCUCAGUAACUCCUUAUUGAAUUGACUUUUUUUCUUGUCCAUUAUGGAACAUUGAUUGUGUAUUGAGCAAAGUACAAAGAGCUAAACACUUAUUUUCCUCUGCCAUUAUGUUUAAUAAAAAAAAUAAAAUUAUUCAUAGAGGUGAUAUAAAAAGAGAUGGUUCCUCUGUAUACUACAUUGAUACCUUUUGCUAUUACGAAGCAAAUGUUACAUAUAAUUAAUUUAAAAAUUGACACCCUUUCAUGAUAUUUUCCUCAUUACCAUUUCAUAAAUUUUAAGAACCAUUUUACAUGUCAACUUAUAUUGCAUGCAAUAAUGAAUGGUUAUAAUCAAGUAUCUAAUGAGUUAACAAUAAUUUCAAACAUUAUUUUGAGUACUUAAAGGAACAGAUCUAGAAAUUGAAGCAAAGCAGCAUAGAAAGAAUAAAAACUAUAUAUUUAAAAUAUUUAGUAAGGAACUAGAGAGAUUCCUCAGUUGUUAAGAGCACUGGUUGCUCAUCCAGAGGCAUUAAGUUCAGUUCCCAGCACCCACAUGGUGACUCACAUCCAUCUGUAAUGGAUCUGAUGUUUUCUUCCAGUGUGUCUGAAGACAGCUACAGUGUACUCAUAUACAUAAAAUAAAUAAAUAAACCUUAUCAUAUUUAGCAAAUACUCUUAAUAAAAUAGCUUAAAAGAAUUAACUGCUGGCCAGGCAGUGGUGGCGCAUACCUUUAUUCCCAGCACUUGGGAGGCAGAGGCAGGCGGAUUUCUGAGUUCAAGGCCAGACUGGUCUACAGAGUGAGUUCCAGGCCAGCCCCAGCCUACACAGAGAAACCCUGUCUUGAAAAACGG